rnacentral:rRNA from 1 species
UAACACAUGCAAGUCGAGGGGCAGCAUGAACUUAGCUUGCUAAGUUUGAUGGCGACCGGCGCACGGGUGAGUAACACGUAUCCAACCUGCCGAUGACUCGGGGAUAGCCUUUCGAAAGAAAGAUUAAUACCCGAUGGCAUAAUUCUUCCGCAUGGUAGAAUUAUUAAAGAAUUUCGGUCAUCGAUGGGGAUGCGUUCCAUUAGGUUGUUGGCGGGGUAACGGCCCACCAAGCCUUCGAUGGAUAGGGGUUCUGAGAGGAAGGUCCCCCACAUUGGAACUGAGACACGGUCCAAACUCCUACGGGAGGCAGCAGUGAGGAAUAUUGGUCAAUGGACGAGAGUCUGAACCAGCCAAGUAGCGUGAAGGAUGACUGCCCUAUGGGUCGUAAACUUCUUUUAUACGGGAAUAAAGUGAGGCACGUGUGCCUUUUUGUAUGUACCGUAUGAAUAAGGAUCGGCUAACUCCGUGCCAGCAGCCGCGGUAAUACGGAGGAUCCGAGCGUUAUCCGGAUUUAUUGGGUUUAAAGGGAGCGUAGGCGGACGCUUAAGUCAGUUGUGAAAGUUUGCGGCUCAACCGUAAAAUUGCAGUUGAUACUGGGUGUCUUGAGUACAGUAGAGGCAGGCGGAAUUCGUGGUGUAGCGGUGAAAUGCUUAGAUAUCACGAAGAACUCCGAUUGCGAAGGCAGCCUGCUGGACUGUAACUGACGCUGAUGCUCGA